GUGUUCGCUUCAAAAACACGUAUACUAAACCUGGAACAAUCCAGAGAAGAUGAGCAUGGCUCCUGCAAAAGAAUGACAUGCAAAUUCAUGAAGUGUUCCAUAUUGUA
ensembl:snRNA U6 U6 spliceosomal RNA